rnacentral:rRNA from 1 species
UACGAAGGGGCGAGCGUUGUUCGGAUUUACUGGGCGUAAAGGGCGCGCAGGCGGCUUUGUUUGUCAGGCGUGAAAGCCCCGGGCUUAACCUGGGAACUGCGUUUGAUACGGCAGGGCUAGAGUUCGGGAGAGGAGAGUGGAAUUCCCAGUGUAGAGGUGAAAUUCGUAGAUAUUGGGAAAGAACACCGGUGGCGAAGGCGGCUCUCUGGACCGAUACUGACGCUGAGGCGCGAAAGCGUGGGGAGCAAACAGG